rfam:Schistosoma curassoni strain Dakar, Senegal genome assembly, scaffold: SCTD_contig0026328
AUCCAGCCGACGAGUCUAAAGUAGGACGAAACGCGCGUCCUGGAU